rnacentral:lncRNA from 1 species
UGCCGCCGCCGCCAUCUGUUGCUGUUGAAAGUUUUGUUGGUGAAGAACAUUUUGAGACUGAAUUUGGGUUUGAUUGAUUGGAUUUUGUCUAGUGGUUUGUUGGGUGAGGUCUAUGAACUGUGGUGGCUGCACCAUCAUGGUGGGGGCGGGUUGUGGUGGCUUUUGGUGGUUGAAUUGUAGGUUGUUUUGAGUGAGUAUUUGCGACUGUUGUAAACCUAACUGUCGCGAAAGAUCUUGUCCAUUAUAGUUUUGGAGAACAGAUCCUGUUAAUGGGUUUAAGUAGUUGGGUUGGACUUGGAUUUGGUUAUUUUGUUGCAUGUUCAUCCAUUGAACUAAGCUUAAU